GGGGUUGUCGCUGAGUGGUAGAGCACUCGCCUAGCAUGUGGGAGGCCCUGAGUUCAAUCCUCGGCACCACA
rnacentral:tRNA from 1 species